rnacentral:RNase_P_RNA from 1 species
AUUUCUGGGCAAAUGCUGCAUAAAAUUAGUAUGUAGAGGAAAGUCCAUGCUCGCACAGGCUGCGAUGCUUGUAGUGUUCGUGCCUAAGGAAAAAAUAACUUAGGGUAGUUUUUAACUAACGGCUUUGAGGAAACCUGCUAGGUGGUUUUAGUAGAUAUAAAAGUGCCAUAGAGACGAGUCAUUUUGGAAACGAAAUGAGUGGAACGAGGUAAACCCCACGAGCGAGAAACCCAAAUUUUGGUAGGGGAGCUUAAAAGAUGGAAGCUGAACGUCUUUUAGGAUUGAGUAAUCAAUAGAUAAAUAUUUGCCACUUACUUAUGUAAGGACAGAACAUGGCUUAUAAGG